GACGAAGGGGGGCUAGCGUUGUUCGGAAUUACUGGGCGUAAAGCGUGUGUAGGUGGUUGUCCAAGUUGGAUGUGAAAAGCCUUGAGCUCAACUCAAGAAAUGCAUUCAGGACUGGGCGACUAGAGGACCGGAGAGGAUAGUGGAAUUCCCAGUGUAGUGGUGAAAUACGUAGAGAUUGGGAAGAACACCAGUGGCGAAGGCGGCUAUCUGGACGGUUUCUGACACUAAGACACGAAAGCGUGGGGAGCAAACAGG
rnacentral:rRNA from 1 species